GAUGAAGAACGUAGCGAAAUGCGAUAAGUAAUGCGAAUUGCAGAAUCCGUGAGUCAUCGAAUCUUUGAACGCACAUUGCGCCCGUCAGUAUUCUGACGGGCAUGCCUGUCCGAGCGUCAUUUCAACCCUCAAGCACUGCUUGGCGUUGGCGGAUUGCGUGCCCUCGCGGCGCCGCAACCGCCCAAAUACAGUGGCGGUCCCGCUGCGGCUCCCUUUGCGUAGUAACUCACCUCGCACUGGACCGGGCGGCGGCCUGCCGUAAAACCCCAACUCACGAAAUGUUGACCUCGGAUCAGGUAGGAAUACCCGCUGAACUUAAGCAUAUCAAUAAGCGGAGGA
rnacentral:misc_RNA from 1 species